GAUGAACGCUGGCGGCGUGCCUAAUACAUGCAAGUCGAGCGAACGGACGAGAAGCUUGCUUCUCUGAUGUUAGCGGCGGACGGGUGAGUAACACGUGGAUAACCUACCUAUAAGACUGGGAUAACUUCGGGAAACCGGAGCUAAUACCGGAUAAUAUUUUGAACCGCAUGGUUCAAAAGUGAAAGACGGUCUUGCUGUCACUUAUAGAUGGAUCCGCGCUGCAUUAGCUAGUUGGUAAGGUAACGGCUUACCAAGGCAACGAUGCAUAGCCGACCUGAGAGGUGGACGGCCACACAGGGAAUUGGGAACCGGCCAAGAACCCACGGGGAGCAAGAAGUGGGGAACCUUCCGCAAGGGGGGAAACCUGACGGGAGAACGGCCGCGUGAGGGAUGAAGGUCGCGGGACGGAAAACCUCUUUAAUAAGGGAAGAAAAUUUGUGUAGUUAACUGUGACCAUUGGGCCGGACCUAAACAAGAAACCACCGCUAACUUCCG
rnacentral:rRNA from 1 species